rnacentral:rRNA from 1 species
CUAAGUUUGAUGGCGACCGGCGCACGGGUGAGUAACACGUAUCCAACCUGCCGAUGACUCGGGGAUAGCCUUUCGAAAGAAAGAUUAAUACCCGAUGGCAUAGUUCUUCCGCAUGGUAGAACUAUUAAAGAAUUUCGGUCAUCGAUGGGGAUGCGUUCCAUUAGGUUGUUGGCGGGGUAACGGCCCACCAAGCCUUCGAUGGAUAGGGGUUCUGAGAGGAAGGUCCCCACAUUGGAACUGAGACACGGUCCAAACUCCUACGGGAGGCAGCAUG